rnacentral:rRNA from 1 species
CCUACGGGAGGCAGCAGUGGGGAAUAUUGGGCAAUGGACGCAAGCCUGACCCAGCAACGCCGCGUGAAUGAAGAAGGCUUUCGGAUUGUAAAGUUCUUUUCUCGGGGACGAAAAAAGUGACGGUACCUAAGGAAUAAGCCACGGCUAACUACGUGCCAGCAGCCGCGGUAAUACGUAGGGGGCAAGUGUUAUCCGGAUUUAUUGGGUGUAAAGGGCGUGUAGGCGGGGUGGCAAGUCAGAUGUGAAAACUCAGGGCUCAACCCUGGGCCUGCUUUUGAAACUGUGUUUCUUGAGUGCUGGAGAGGCAAUCGGAAUUCCGUGUGUAGCGGUGGAAUGCGUAGAUAUUCGGAGGAACACCAGUGGCGAAGGCGGAUUGCUGGACAGUAACUGACGCUGAGGCGCGAAAGCGUGGGGAGCAAACAGGAUUAGAUACCCCAGUAGUC